rnacentral:rRNA from 1 species
UUAAGCGACUAAGCGUACACGGUGGAUGCCCUGGCAGUCAGAGGCGAUGAAGGACGUGCUAAUCUGCGAAAAGCGCCGGCGAGGUGAUAUGAACCUUUGACCCGGCGAUGUCCGAAUGGGGAAACCCAGUGCAAUUCGUUGCACUAUCGUUAACUGAAUACAUAGGUUAACGAGGCGAACCGGGGGAACUGAAACAUCUAAGUACCCCGAGGAAAAGAAAUCAACCGAGAUUCCCCCAGUAGCGGCGAGCGAACGGGGAGCAGCCCAGAGUCUGAAUCAGCUUGUGUGUUAGUGGAAGCGUCUGGAAAGUCGCACGGUACAGGGUGACAGUCCCGUACACGAAAAUGCACAGGUUGUGAACUCGAAGAGUAGGGCGGGACACGUGGUAUCCUGUCUGAAUAUGGGGGGACCAUCCUCCAAGGCUAAAUACUCCUGACUGACCGAUAGUGAACCAGUACCGUGAGGGAAAGGCGAAAAGAACCCCGGCGAGGGGAGUGAAAAAGAACCUGAAACCGUGUACGUACAAGCAGUGGGAGCACCUUCGUGGUGUGACUGCGUACCUUUUGUAUAAUGGGUCAGCGACUUAUAUUCUGUAGCAAGGUUAACCGUAUAGGGGAGCCGAAGGGAAACCGAGUCUUAACUGGGCGUUAAGUUGCAGGGUAUAGACCCGAAACCCGGUGAUCUAGCCAUGGGCAGGUUGAAGGUUGGGUAACACUAACUGGAGGACCGAACCGACUAAUGUUGAAAAAUUAGCGGAUGACUUGUGGCUGGGGGUGAAAGGCCAAUCAAACCGGGAGAUAGCUGGUUCUCCCCGAAAGCUAUUUAGGUAGCGCCUCGUGAACUCAUCUUCGGGGGUAGAGCACUGUUUCGGCUAGGGGGCCAUCCCGGCUUACCAACCCGAUGCAAACUACGAAUACCGAAGAAUGUUAUCACGGGAGACACACGGCGGGUGCUAACGUCCGUCGUGAAGAGGGAAACAACCCAGACCGCCAGCUAAGGUCCCAAAGUCAUGGUUAAGUGGGAAACGAUGUGGGAAGGCACAGACAGCCAGGAUGUUGGCUUAGAAGCAGCCAUCAUUUAAAGAAAGCGUAAUAGCUCACUGGUCGAGUCGGCCUGCGCGGAAGAUGUAACGGGGCUAAACCAUGCACCGAAGCUGCGGCAGCGACGCUUAGGCGUUGUUGGGUAGGGGAGCGUUCUGUAAGCCGUUGAAGGUGUGCUGUGAGGCAUGCUGGAGGUAUCAGAAGUGCGAAUGCUGACAUAAGUAACGAUAAAGCGGGUGAAAAGCCCGCUCGCCGGAAGACCAAGGGUUCCUGUCCAACGUUAAUCGGGGCAGGGUGAGUCGACCCCUAAGGCGAGGCCGAAAGGCGUAGUCGAUGGGAAACAGGUUAAUAUUCCUGUACUUGGUGUUACUGCGAAGGGGGGACGGAGAAGGCUAUGUUAGCCGGGCGACGGUUGUCCCGGUUUAAGCAUGUAGGCGGAGGUUCCAGGUAAAUCCGGUACCUUUUAACGCUGAGGUGUGAUGACGAGGCACUACGGUGCUGAAGUAACAAAUGCCCUGCUUCCAGGAAAAGCCUCUAAGCAUCAGGUAACAUCAAAUCGUACCCCAAACCGACACAGGUGGUCAGGUAGAGAAUACCAAGGCGCUUGAGAGAACUCGGGUGAAGGAACUAGGCAAAAUGGUGCCGUAACUUCGGGAGAAGGCACGCUGAUAUGUAGGUGAAGCCCCUGCGGGUGGAGCUGAAAUCAGUCGAAGAUACCAGCUGGCUGCAACUGUUUAUUAAAAACACAGCACUGUGCAAACACGAAAGUGGACGUAUACGGUGUGACGCCUGCCCGGUGCCGGAAGGUUAAUUGAUGGGGUUAGCGGCAACGCGAAGCUCUUGAUCGAAGCCCCGGUAAACGGCGGCCGUAACUAUAACGGUCCUAAGGUAGCGAAAUUCCUUGUCGGGUAAGUUCCGACCUGCACGAAUGGCGUAAUGAUGGCCAGGCUGUCUCCACCCGAGACUCAGUGAAAUUGAACUCGCUGUGAAGAUGCAGUGUACCCGCGGCAAGACGGAAAGACCCCGUGAACCUUUACUAUAGCUUGACACUGAACACUGGUCCUUGAUGUGUAGGAUAGGUGGGAGGCUUUGAAGCGUGGACGCCAGUCUGCGUGGAGCCGCCCUUGAAAUACCACCCUUUAAUGGCUGGUGUUCUAACGUAGACCCGUAAUCCGGGUUGCGGACAGUGUCUGGUGGGUAGUUUGACUGGGGCGGUCUCCUCCCAAAGAGUAACGGAGGAGCACGAAGGUUAGCUAAUCCUGGUCGGACAUCAGGAGGUUAGUGCAAUGGCAUAAGCUAGCUUGACUGCGAGAGUGACGGCUCGAGCAGGUGCGAAAGCAGGUCAUAGUGAUCCGGUGGUUCUGAAUGGAAGGGCCAUCGCUCAACGGAUAAAAGGUACUCCGGGGAUAACAGGCUGAUACCGCCCAAGAGUUCAUAUCGACGGCGGUGUUUGGCACCUCGAUGUCGGCUCAUCACAUCCUGGGGCUGAAGUAGGUCCCAAGGGUAUGGCUGUUCGCCAUUUAAAGUGGUACGCGAGCUGGGUUUAGAACGUCGUGAGACAGUUCGGUCCCUAUCUGCCGUGGGCGCUGGAGAAUUGAGGGGGGCUGCUCCUAGUACGAGAGGACCGGAGUGGACGCAUCACUGGUGUUCGGGUUGUCAUGCCAAUGGCACUGCCCGGUAGCUAAAUGCGGAAAAGAUAAGUGCUGAAAGCAUCUAAGCACGAAACUUGCCCCGAGAUGAGUUCUCCCUGACCCUUUAAGGGUCCUGAAGGAACGUUGAAGACUACGACGUUGAUAGGUCGGGUGUGUAAGCGCAGCGAUGCGUUGAGCUAACCGAUACUAAUGAACCGUGAGGCUUAACCU